CUUACAGCGAAUGCUUGGGAAGAUACUCUGUUGCAUAUAAAAGGGUGGUCUGGUUAGACCUUUUGUCUUUUAGAGCACUAUGUUGCUGUUAACCCCACUGUGUUCCUCUCCCUUGUUUAUUUUGGGGUUCCCUUUCCCCUCCUCCCAUCUCCCUUCUGACCUCCGUCUGGUCCUCACGCUUGGCAGGUGGUUGGAUCCAGUCCAGCCAGCUGGCAGCACAUGUGUGGACUGCAUCUCACCGUCUCGCAUUGGUUUCUGCCUCCUCAGGUGCAUGGACUGUAUCGCACAACAGGUGCUAGCUUUGAGAAGGCCCAGCAAGAGUUUGCAACGGGAGUGAUGUCCAAUAAAACUGUUCAGACAGCAGCUGCAAAUGCCGCGUCCACCGCAGCAACCAGCGCGGCGCAGAAUGCCUUCAAGGGUAACCAGAUGUAGCGAGCCUCCUCAGAGCGGUUCUCCAUUCCCUUAUGACUGUGUUUUUUUCUCCAGUUACUGUAUUCUACAGAUAUUUUUAUGUUGGAAACACACAGUACAUAAAGCAUGGGUAUUUCCUAUCCACAUGUGCAUGGUCUAAAAACCAGAGAAACUUCCUAGUCUUAUUACUUUGCCUAAUAGUUUCUUACUAUUUCCAUGCCCCUCACAGAAGAAAACUAUCAUCUGCAAAACAAAUAUUCUCCAUAUUUUUGGGGGAUGGUGUUCCUCAGAUUAUUUCAGUGGUGACACACUGAAAUGAGUAUG
rnacentral:lncRNA from 1 species